UCACUAGUGCAGUGCCGGUUUGAAAUGUGUGCCAGUUCGGAACGGGCCAAUUGCUUGGCCUUUCAUUGAUGCUUG